rnacentral:lncRNA from 1 species
AUGCUGUGUAAGAGCCCACUCUUUUUGUGUCCCUGUAUCCCUGUGUCCCUACAUCCCUGUAUCCCUGUAUCCCUGUGGUUUGUGUCCCUGUAUCCCCGUGUCCCUGUAUCCCUGUAUCCCUGUGGUUUGUGUCCCUGUAUCCCUGUGUCCCUACAUCCCUGUAUCCCUGUGGUCUGUGUCCCCACAUCCUCGUGUUCCGCAUCCCUGCAUCCCCGUGUUCCAUGUCCUCGCAUCCCUGUAUCCCUGCCAUCUCCAUGUCUUGUAUCCCUGCAUCCCCAGGUCCCGUGUUCCUGCAUCCCUGUAUCCCUGUGUCCUGCAGCCCCGUGUUCCGCACCCCCACAUCCCUCUAUCCCUGCAUCCUUGUGUUGCACAUCCCUGUAUCCCUGCAUCUCCAUGUCCUGCAUCCCUGCAUCCCUGUAUCCCUGCAUUCCUGUGUCCCUGUAUCCCCACAUCCCUGCAUUCCCAUGUUCUGUGUCCCCACAUCCCUGUGUUCCGUGUCCCUGUAUCCCUAUGUCCCCGUGUUCCCACAUCCCUGUGUUCACAUCCCUACAUCCCUGUGUCUUAUGCAUCCACAGGUUCUGCAUCCCCACAUGCCUGUAUCCCUGCAUUCCCGUGUCCCUGUAUCCUGUCAUCCCUGCAUCCCUGUGUUCCGCAUCCCUGUGUUCCAUGUCCCUGCAUCCCUACGUCCCCAUGUUCCGUGUCCCCUCAUCCCCACAUCCCUGUGUCUCUGCAUCCACAGGUUCCACAUCCCCCUACCCUUGCAUCCCUGCAUCCCUGUGUUCCGCAUCCCUGUGUUCCAUGUCCCUGCAUCCCUACGUCCCCAUGUUCCGUGUCCCCUCAUCCCCACAUCCCUGUGUCUCUGCAUCCCCAGGCUCCACAUCCCCGCAUCCCUGUACUCUUGCAUCCCUGUGUUCUGUGUCCCUGCAUCCCUGCGUCCUCAUGUUCCGUGUCCCCUCAUCCCUGCUUCCCUGUGUCUCUGCAUCCCCAGGGUCCACAUCCCUGUACUCUUGCAUCCCUGUGUUCUGUGUCCCUGCAUCCCUGCGUCCUCAUGUUCCGUGUCCCCUCAUCCCUGCUUCCCUGUGUCUCUGCAUCCCCAGGGUCCACAUCCCUGUACUCUUGCAUCCCUGUGUUCUGUGUCCCUGCAUCCCUGCGUCCUCAUGUUCCGUGUCCCCUCAUCCCUGCUUCCCUGUG